CAAUAGCGUAUAUUUAAGUUGUUGCAGUUAAAAAGCUCGUAGUUGGAUUUCUGAUCGAGACAUCAGGUCGGGUCCGAGAGGAUCAUGUACUUUGAUUUUGUUUUGAUCAUCCUUGGGGAGAGCAUUUCUGGCAUUCAGUUGUCGGGAUUGGGAUCCUCAUCGUUUACUGUGAAAAAAUUAGAGUGUUCAAAGCAGGCCUCGGCCUCUGAAUACAUUAGCAUGGAAUAAUAAGAUAGGACUUUGGUGGUCUAUUUUGUUGGUUUGCACGCCAAAGUAAUGAUUAAUAGGGAUAGUUGGGGGUAUUCGUAUUCAAUUGUCAGAGGUGAAAUUCUUGGAUUUAUGGAAGACGAACUACUGCGAAAGCAUUUACCAAGGAUGUUUUCAUUAA
rnacentral:rRNA from 1 species